rnacentral:rRNA from 1 species
GACGAACGCUGGCGGCGUGCUUAACACAUGCAAGUCGAACGGAAAGGCCCUGCUUUUGUGGGGUGCUCGAGUGGCGAACGGGUGAGUAACACGUGAGUAACCUGCCCUUGACUUUGGGAUAACUUCAGGAAACUGGGGCUAAUACCGGAUAGGAGCUCCUGCUGCAUGGGGGGGGUUGGAAAGUUUCGGCGGUUGGGGCUGGACUCGCGGCUUAUCAGCUUGUUGGUGGGGUAGGGGCUUACCAAGGCUUUGAGGGGUAGCCGGCCUGGGAGGGUGACCGGCCACAUUGGUACUGAGAUACGGCCCAGACUCCUACGGGAGGCAGCAGUGGGGAAUAUUGCACAAUGGGCGGAAGCCUGAUGCAGCAACGCCGCGUGCGGGAUGACGGCCUUCGGGUUGUAAACCGCUUUCGCCUGUGACGAAGCGUGAGUGACGGUAAUGGGUAAAGAAGCACCGGCUAACUACGUG